rnacentral:misc_RNA from 1 species
UUGGACUUGGAGCGUGCUGGUCUUGCAAAGGAUCGGCUCCUCUCAAAUGCAUCGGCGGAAAUCCCUUUGAUCUUUCCGGUCAUCAGUGUGAUAAUCAUGUUACGCUGUUGGUCUAGAUCGAAGUCCGCUUACAAUCGUCUUCGGACAGACUUUGACAACAAUUUGACCUCAAAUCAGGUAGGACUACCCGCUGAACUUAA